UACGUAGGGGGCAAGCGUUUGUCCGGAAUCAUUGGGCGUAAAGAGCGUGUAGGCGGUCCGGUAAGUCCGCUGUGAAAGUCGGGGGCUCAACCCUCGAAUGCCGGUGGAUACUGUCGGGCUAGAGUGCGGAAGAGGCGAGUGGAAUUCCUGGUGUAGCGGUGAAAUGCGCAGAUAUCAGGAGGAACACCUAUUGCGAAGGCAGCUCGCUGGGACGUAACUGACGCUGAGACGCGAAAGCGUGGGGAGCAAACAGG
rnacentral:rRNA from 1 species